rnacentral:tRNA from 1 species
GGGGCCGUGGUCUAGCAAGGUAGGACGACAUCGGGAGCCCCCGACGUUAAGGGCUCCAGAAGCUUAUUGAACGGGUCUGCUGACCAGUAGGGGAUGAAGAUCUUCUGGAGCGAAGAGAGACCCGUUGAUCGGGGGUUCAAGUCCCCCCGGCCCCACCA